rnacentral:rRNA from 1 species
UUAUACAUGCAAGUCGAACGGGAAGCGUACUUUCGGGUGCGUGGAGAGUGGCGAACGGGUGAGUAACACGUAGAUGACCUGCCUUAGAGAGGGGGACAACUGAUGGAAACGUCAGCUAAUACCCUAUGGACUUGAUAUAGUUAGAGAGUAUUGAGUAAAGGAGCAAUCCGCUUUAAGAGGGGUCUGCGGUCUAUCAGCUAGUUGGUGGGGUAACAGCGUACCAAGGCGAAGACGGAUAGGGGGCGUGAGAGCGCGAUCCCCCACAAUGGGACUGAGACACGGCCCAUACUCCUACGGGAGGCAGCAGUGAGGAAUAUUGCACAAUGGGGGCAACCCUGAUGCAGCAAUGCCGCGUGGGUGAUGAAGGUUUUCGGAUUGUAAAGCCCUUUUCUGCGAGAAGAGAGAGGACGGUAUCGCAGGAAUAAGUCCCGGCUAACUACGUGCCAGCAGCCGCGGUAAAACGUAGGGGGCGAGCGUUAUCCGGAUUUAUUGGGCGUAAAGCGCAUGUAGGCGGUAGGGUAAGAUAGGCGUGAAAGCUCUCGGCUUAACCGGGAGAGGACGUUUGUGACUGCCGUACUUGAGUGGAGUAGAGGAGAGCGGAAUUCCCGGUGUAGUGGUGGAAUGCGUAGAUAUCGGGAGGAACACCAGUGGCGAAAGCGGCUCUCUGGGCUUUAACUGACGUUGAGAUGCGAAAGCGUGGGUAGCGAACGGGAUUAGAUACCCCGGUAGUCCACGCUGUAAACGAUGGAUGCUAGGUGUAGCGGGUGUAGACCCCUGCUGUGCCGCAGCUAACGCGAUAAGCAUCCCGCCUGGGGACUACGGUCGCAAGACUAAAACUCAAAGGAAUUGACGGGGGCCCGCACAAGCAGCGGAGCGUGUGGUUUAAUUCGAUGAUACGCGAAGAACCUUACCUGGGUUUGACAUCACCGUGGUAGCGAGGCGAAAGCCGAGUGACCCUUCGGGGAGCGGAGACAGGUGUUGCAUGGCUGUCGUCAGCUCGUGUCGUGAGAUGUUGGGUUAAGUCCCGCAACGAGCGCAACCCACGUCGUUAGUUACAAGUGUCUAGCGAGACAGCCGUUAUCAAAGCGGAGGAAGGUGUGGACGACGUCAAGUCAGCAUGACCUUUAUAUCCAGGGCGACAUACACGCUACAAUGGCCGGUACAAUGGGCAGCGACCCUGCGAAGGGGAGCGAAUCCUGAAAGCCGGUCUCAGUUCGGAUAGCAGUCUGCAACUCGACUGCUUGAAGGUGGAGUUGCUAGUAACCGUGCGUCAGCAUGCCGCGGUGAAUACGUUCCCGGGCCUUGUACACACCGCCCGUCACACCAUGGGAAUUGGUUGCACCAGAAGCCGCCGGGCUAACCUUUCGGGGAGGCAGGCGUCUACGGUGUGGUCGGUAACUGGGGUGAAGUCGUAACAAGGUAACU